AUUGAGGACUAGCAGGAUGGGAAAUGAGGGUGCUCAUCACUCGGAACGUCCUUAUUACUGUACUAUUAAGGUUCAUACUUUGAUGUGCUCGGAACUGAAGAACUUCAUUGAUAGAAUAUCACAGAUAUAUUUGGCUAUUGAAUCUGCCAGACCAAGAUGCAGUACAGGGCUACAGACAUUAUGCUAUUUGCAUGCUGCUAUGGAUAAAGCAAGACUACUCAUCCAGCACUGUUCCGAAAGUAGUAAACUCUACUUGGCAUUUCAAUCAGAUAGGAUACUCUGGAGAUGCGAAAACGUAAGAAAGGCUCUGGAUUUAUACUUAGGCCAAAUUCAAAAUAUGGUUCCAACAUUGCUGGCUGCCAAGGUUUGUUAUUUUCAUGCCCUUAAAGUAUUUGUUGCUUUGUUAUGUCAAUUAAUAUAUGCUGCUACAGAUCCCAAGUGCUUGAGAAUUGGGUUUUGCACCUUCUCUGUCCAAUAUAGUCAUAUUUCUGUUACUUUGUAGCUUGUGAGAUCAUUUCUUAGGAAACAUCCAGUUUUAAACUAUGCUUAGUUGUUUUUAUUUUAUGAUCUCAAAUAAAUUAAAACAUUCCAACUGUUGAGUCAAUGUUUGCUCGUGCUGAGUCUCUUCUGAAUGGAAAGCACUCAUGUUGUUGUCCAAGUUUUCCAAAAUCACUUUGGUAGUUCCUUAAAUUUCAUUUACAUUCUUUUCCAGGUUUAGCUACUUGGUGAAAGCCUAAUUAAACAAUUGCUCAAGAAGGUCAAAUUUUGAGCAAAAUGUGUUGCAUUUUCUUUUCAAAUGAUUCAAAAUCUGUUUAAUCCUAUACAUAUGUGAAAGGACUCAUUUAAUUGAUAUCACAGCAUGGUAGACUUGGUUCAAGUUGAAAAUGACGUGGAGUUAUCACAAUUCCUUUCCUAUCUGCUUGCCUAUCUUAAUUUGAAAACCUGAAUCUUUUCUAGGUCUUCCUCACUCUGUUACAUACUUAGACACUUCUCUUUUAAGUUCUUCCUAAGAAUUCAGAAGAGAAAUUCCAUCUGCAGAUAUCUGGAAUUGUGGAAGAUCUUAGGGGUGCGAAGUUUCAGCUAGAAUCUUCUGAAGUUGAGGCUGGAAAGGUUGUAAAAGAUUUGCUUAGGCAGGACAUGCCUGCAUCAGAUUCUAUAAACAAUGCAGAACUAGAGGCCCUUGAAUUUGCAGCUGUGAGACUGAAAAUUACAUCCCCUUUGGCUGUUUUGAUAGAAAAAAGAUCCAUCAAGAAACUACAAGAGAAAGUUCGUGAUACGGACCCAAAAAAGAAAAUCUUGGAGUUUUUCUUGUAUCUUUUGAGGAAAUAUGGAAGACAUAUUGGGCAAUGCCAAACCAAUGGUGGCUUUCGUCAGCAUGAGGAAUGCAAGACUCGAACUACUGACAAACCUGCUCCACCAGACCCGCCACUCGAAUUUAAGUGUCCAAUCUCUAUGAGACUAAUGUAUGACCCAGUAAUCAUUGAUUCUGGGAAAACGUAUGAACGAGUUUGGAUUGAGAAAUGGUUUGGUGAGGGGAAUGAUACAUGUCCAGUAACAAAUAUAAAACUGGACAAUUUAUACCUGACUGCAAAUGUUGUAAUGAAGGGCCUCAUUUCAAAGUGGUGUUCAGAUCAUGGGAUCAAUAUUUCUGAACCAUGUGCACAAACAAUUCCAGCUUCAGUUUCCUCAAAGAAGCUUUUAUCCCUUACAUCCAUUGCUAGCAUUGGCAGUUCUGUGAAUGAUUUGCGCCUUCAAGUUAGCAAUGUCUCACUUAGAUCUACAGAUACAAAUUGUGGAGCAGAUUUAGUAGAUGAUGAUAACAAUGCUAAUUUCAGUGUUGGACUCCCUCAAAUGAAUGCAGGUGCUUGUGUAAGUCAGUCAUCUAUAAGUGCCCAUAGCAUAAUUAGGAUGGCAUCGCUCUCCAAACUGGACUCACUUCCAUGGGAAUACCGGUGCAAGGCAGUGCAAGAUAUUAAAGAACAACUGAACAAAAAUGAGCAGGAAUGUGAUUGGCUAUUUAACAAUAGUUAUAUGAAGCUACUGAUUAAAUUUUUGAAGGAUGCGUAUGACUCUUCUGAUGAAAAAGCCCAGGAUGAUUUGGCAGAGGUGCUUUUGGCAAUUUUAAGUAAAAGCAGAUUUGGAUUGCCUCCCUUUGACGAAGAUGCAAUGUACAUGUUAGCAUCAUUUCUUGAUUCUAAAAUCACCAGCAAGGCUCUUGCUAUCAUGGAAGUGCUAUCAUGCCAACCAUCGUAUAAUUCUGGAAUUCUUGCAUCUGGAGUUCUACCUUCCAUCCUAAAAGUCCUUGAUGUGCAAAGUAGGGAGUUCCAUGAGGUUGCCAUGAAGAUACUCUGUAAUUUGUCCUGCAAGAGUGACAUAGCAUACCACAUUGUGUAUUUGGAUUGCAUCCCAAAGUUGGUUCCUUUUCUAUAUGAUCAGAGUCUUGCAGGAUAUUGCCUUAAUAUUAUGAAGUCCUUGUGUGAUAUUGAGGAAGGUAAGAAUGCAGUUGCUGAAACUAAUUCUUGCGUUGCUUCAAUUGUCACUCUUCUGGAAACUGGUAGCAAGCAUGAGCAAGAAACUGCAAUGGAAGUUCUACUGUCUCUAUGCUAUGAGCACAUUGAACAUUGUCAACAGAUCAUGGGAGAAGGUACUGUAAAAUCUUUGAUCAAUAUGUCUGUUAAUGGGAAUCCAAGAGUAAAGGUUAUUGCCUCAGAAUUGCUCCAGAUUUUGGGGCAUACAACAGAAGGUGAUGUCUCAAAUUGUUCUACAUUUAGUGCUGGCUUGAGCAUGGGCAUCUCCAGUGACUCUGGCAGUGGUAAUCAUAUUAAAGUGAAAAAAUCACCUUCCAAGGGAUUUGGAUAUCUGGGAAGAAAAAUUGCGAGACUUUUUCACCACAGUCGUUAGUGAGAAAUUGUCUACUGAGAGUUCAUGUGGUGGGAUUUUUUUUUUUUUAACAAAAUAGCAUAGAAUGUAACCAAGAAGUAGCUGUCAAACACUUACAUGAAUAUUGGAUGAGCGAUUACUUUCUGUUUGAUGUAGAAAAUUACCAUGUUUUUGCAUUUCUAGUGAGAAGCAAUUUUGCUAAUUUGAUAAUGUUUGGCUUUUUUUGAAUCACCUAUGACUCUACCUUUUGGAUAAAGUU
rnacentral:misc_RNA from 1 species